GACGUAGGAGGCGAGCGUUGUCCGGAUUCAUUGGGCGUAAAGAGCACGCAGGCGGUUUGGCAAGUCGGACGUGAAAAUCCGGGGCUCAACCCCGGACCUGCAUCCGAAACUGCCCGACUAGAGGUAGGUAGGGGAGAUCGGAAUUCCUGGUGUAGCGGUGAAAUGCGCAGAUAUCAGGAGGAACACCGGUGGCGAAGGCGGAUCUCUGGGCCUUACCUGACGCUCAGGCGCGAUAGCGUGGGGAUCAAACAGG
rnacentral:rRNA from 1 species